GACGUAGGGCGCAAGCGUUGUCCGGAUUUAUUGGGCGUAAAGAGCUCGUAGGCGGUUUGUCGCGUCUGCUGUGAAAACUCGGGGCUUAACUCCGGGCCUGCAGUGGGUACGGGCAGACUAGAGUGCGGUAGGGGAGACUGGAAUUCCUGGUGUAGCGGUGAAAUGCGCAGAUAUCAGGAGGAACACCGGUGGCGAAGGCGGAUCUCUGGGCCUUACCUGACGCUCAGGCACGAAAGCUAGGGGAGCGAACAGG
rnacentral:rRNA from 1 species